UUAACAGGAUUAGAUACCCUGGUAGUCCACGCCCUAAACGAUGUCAACUAGCUGUUGGGGCCGUUAGGCCUUAGUAGCGCAGCUAACGCGUGAAGUUGACCGCCUGGGGAGUACGGUCGCAAGAUUAAAACUCAAAGGAAUUGACGGGGACCCGCACAAGCGGUGGAUGAUGUGGAUUAAUUCGAUGCAACGCGAAAAACCUUACCUACCCUUGACAUGUCUGGAAAGCCGAAGAGAUUUGGCCGUGCUCGCAAGAGAACCGGAACACAGGUGCUGCAUGGCUGUCGUCAGCUCGUGUCGUGAGAUGUUGGGUUAAGUCCCGCAACGAGCGCAGCCCUUGUCAUUAGUUGCUACGCAAGAGCACUCUAAUGAGACUGCCGGUGACAAACCGGAGGAAGGUGGGGAUGACGUA
rnacentral:rRNA from 1 species